UAUAUUUCAGUUAUCCAGCAAGACCAGAUGAGGAGAUAUUUAGUGGAUUCUCUCUUUCUAUGCCAAGUGGCACAACUGCAGCUUUGGUUGGACAUAGUGGAAGUGGGAAAUCAACAGUAAUUAGUCUGAUAGAACGAUUUUAUGAUCCAAAAUCUGGAGAAGUUCUUAUAGACGACAUCAACCUCAAAGAAUUUCAACUUAAAUGGAUUAGAGAAAAAAUUGGUCUUGUUAGUCAGGAACCUGUGUUGUUUACCUCUAGCAUCAAGGACAAUAUUGCAUAUGGGAAGGAUGGUGCCACCACUGAAGAGAUAAGAGCUGCGGCUGAACUUGCCAACGCUGCAAAAUUUAUUGAUAAACUACCUCAGGUUCAAAGUUAUUGCAAUUUAUCAAUCGAAUGUAUUGUUUUCUUUUAAGAUUAUUAAUUACUGAUUUCAGAUUUUUGCAUCCAGGGACUUGACACCAUGGUUGGUGAACAUGGAACUCAGCUUUCUGGUGGACAGAAGCAGAGGAUUGCAAUUGCAAGGGCAAUCCUUAAGGAUCCUCGAAUUUUACUUUUAGAUGAAGCUACAAGUGCACUUGAUGCAGAAUCUGAGAGGGUAGUGCAAGAGGCACUAGACAGGAUAAUGGUCAACCGAACUACUAUUAUAGUUGCACAUCGCUUAACUACUGUGAGCAAUGCUGAUAUGAUUGCUGUCAUUCAUCGAGGAAAGUUGGUUGAAAAAGGUACCUCUUCUAGUUAUUUAUAUAAUUUCUUGUAGUUUCAUUCAUCACCCUUUUCGUGGUUUAGUUCCUUCAUGGUAUUUUAAUCUACUUAUUAUUUCUUACUACAAGAAAAUAAAAAUGUUGCACUUGCAUGUGUGUAUGCAUCAAUCUACUUUUGUUUUGAAGUUUUUGAUGUGAUCGAGUCAGGGAGGAACAUAUUAAUAAUUUUGUCAAUUGGCAGGCACACACUCAGAACUACUUGAAGAUCCUGAUGGAGCAUAUUCUCAGCUUAUACGUUUACAGGAAGUAAAUAAAGAAUCAGAACCGGCUGCACAUGAUUAUGGCAGAUCAGAAAUUUCUAUGGAAUCACUUAGACAAUCAAGUCAAAGAAGGUCGUUGCGUCCCUCUAUAAGUAGGGGGUCAUCUGGAAAUAGCAGUCGACACUCGUUGCCACUCCCAUUUGGUUUUCCUACAGGACUAGAUGGUCCUGAUAAUGACCUGGACGAUGUAGAAGAUUUUCAAUCAAAAGUAAAACUUCCAGAGGUUCCAAUUCGCCGCCUUGCCUAUCUUAACAAGCCAGAGCUUCCGGUUCUUAUACUCGGUACCAUUGCUGCAUGUAUCGCUGGUACAAUACAGCCAAUUUAUGGUAUACUAGUUUCCAAAUCAAUCAGAACAUUUUAUGAACCACCUCACGAACUGAGAAAGGAUUCAAAUUUCUGGGCACUAAUGUUUUUAACGCUAGGUCUGGCAUCAUUUGUGGUAACUCCGUUUAGAACGUAUUUCUUUUCUAUAGCUGGGUCUAAGUUAAUCCAUAGGAUUAGAUCUAUGUGUUUUGAAAAGGUGGUCCACAUGGAGAUUGGUUGGUUUGAUGAGCCUGAGCACUCAAGCGGUGCAAUAGCAGCUAGGCUUUCAGCAGAUGCAGCAAUAGUGCGAGCCCUUGUUGGAGAUGCACUAGCUUUGAUGGUUCAGAAUAUUGCAACAGCAGGAGCAGCUCUAGUCAUUGCUUUCACUGCAAGUUGGCAAUUAGCUUUCAUUGUACUUGUCCUUGUCCCUCUGAUGGGUGUCAAUGGAAUGAUCCAAGUAAAGUUCAUGAAAGGAUUCAGUGCAAAUGCAAAGGUAAGCGCUAAAGCUAAUCAGGUUGACAUUAGGCUUUUUUUUUUUUUUUUCUUUUUUGGAAGACAAUCAGUAUCCCAUAAAUAUGUCUAUUUAAUAUUAUAUACCAUGUGAUAAAUUGAAAUGGUUGCAGAUGAUGUACGAGGAAGCAAGCCAAGUUGCUAGUGAUGCAGUUGGGAGUAUAAGAACAGUUGCUUCCUUCUGUGCCGAAGAGAAGGUGAUGCAACUUUAUGAACAGAAAUGUGAGGGUCCCAGGAGGACUGGAUUAAGGCUAGGAUUGAUCAGUGGUAUAGGGUUUGGAAUGUCGUCCUUCUGUUUGUUCUGCUUCUAUGCAACUAGUUUCUAUGCGGGAGCUCGAUUAGUUGAGGGUGGCCACAUAACCUUUGCAGAUGUUUUUCAGGUGCCCUUCAUAUCUAUAAACUCUUUCCCAGAAACUUUUUGAAGUUUGCAAUUACAACAUAUUUUUGCAGUGAUACUAAACCUUUUCAUCAUUUUAUAGGUCUUCUAUGCUUUGACUAUGGCAGCUAUAGGAAUUUCUCAGUCAAGUUCUAUGGGUGCUGAUUCUGCCAAAGCAAAGGCUGCGGCUGCUUCUGUGUUCGCAAUCAUAGACAGGAAGUCAAAUAUAGAUUCAAGUGAUGAGUCAGGAACAACACUAGAAAAUGUAACGGGAGAAAUUGAACUUCAUCAUGUAAGCUUCAAGUAUCCAUCUAGACCAGAUAUUCAGAUUUUCCGGGACCUCAACUUGACUAUUCGUUCUGGAAAGGUAAUUUCUAUGUAUGUUCCAUUUCAGAUCCCACUUCUUUAAGGAAAUUGAAAUGAGAUAUACAUUACAACAAUAUUAAUGUGCUUCAAUUUCUUUCAGACUGUUGCCUUAGUUGGAGAAAGUGGGAGUGGUAAAUCAACGGUAAUUGCAUUGCUGCAAAGGUUUUACGACCCAGAUUCAGGUCAUAUCACACUUGAUGGAAUUGAAAUUCAAAAGCUCCAAUUGAAGUGGCUAAGGCAACAGAUGGGGCUUGUGAGCCAAGAGCCGGUUUUGUUCAACGAAACAAUCCGUGCCAACAUUGCCUAUGGAAAGGAAGGAAAUGCAACUGAGGCAGAGAUUAUAGAAGCAGCAGAGUUGGCCAAUGCCCACAACUUCAUCAGCAGCUUACAGCAGGUGAGAAAAACUAUAUAAAGAACAUUAUAAAACUUUUGGCACCAGAACAUAUAAAACGUUAGAGGUUCAAAUUCUGAUAUACCUCUAUUUUGUUCAUAAAAAAAUGCAGGGCUAUGAAACUGUGGUAGGGGAACGAGGAGUACAGUUAUCUGGGGGACAAAAGCAAAGAAUAGCUAUAGCUCGCGCCAUAGUGAAGAGUCCAAAGAUAUUAUUGUUAGAUGAGGCUACAAGUGCAUUAGAUGCAGAAUCUGAAAGAAUGGUUCAAGAUGCACUGGACCGAUUGAUGGUGAAUAGGACUACGGUGGUGGUAGCUCACCGGCUAUCAACAAUCAAGAAUGCAGAUGUUAUUGCAGUGGUCACGAAUGGAGUUAUAGUUGAGAAAGGAAGGCAUGAAACUCUUAUCAAUAUCAAAGAUGGUUUCUAUGCUUCGUUAGUAGCACUUCACAUGAGUGCUAAAACUGCGUAAGCCAUAUGCUUCCAUGAUUUUGUUCAUAGGAGAUAGAUUUAGACUAGAUUUUAAACGGAACAUGUAAAUUUUUUUGUUUCCCUUUCUUUUUCCUAUCCUAAUAAAAGACUUCAUUGAUGGAUGUCACAUGUCAUGCAUUUCAUGAUAAAUUAAAAGUUGAAACUAAAUCAACCAAUUUAAAUAAUUUUCAACCCGAAAACGAAUUGAAGAAAAUUGAAAAGAGAGGCUUCAGCAAAAACUAGUGUACACCUUAUACGAAUUCUGCCACGUGACAGUUCGUAUCAUCUUUGGUUCCCACGUGAUUAUAUGUCGAUGGAAAAUAUUGCAUAUGAUGAUGGAAGUUUCUUGUCUACAAGCUAUGCCUGAUCUCCCUAGUCACGAUUUGCCGUUCCCUCUUUCCGAUUAAUUUUGCUUCCUAAUGCUGACAUUUCCUUUUAAAUUUAAUUAAUUUAUUUGGAUAUGUAUUUUUUAUUUUUAUUUUCAUAAUCACAGGGGUCUGGGUAUAAGGUGGAAAGAGUGAAAUUCAAAUUCUGGCAUUGGACGUGUAUUUUGUUUUUAAUAAUAAUAAUAACAACAAUACUAGUAAUAGAGUAUUAUCCACACUCUUUUCUUAUGCGAUGCGAAUUUCUCAAAAAUUAAAAGAAUUUACUUUAAUAAAAAUUAUUUAACAAAAAUUUUUAUUUUCAUUGUUUCAUCCGAAUGUAUCAUGACCGGAUUCGGAUAGGUAUAAUCAAAAAUUAAAAGCAUUAGACUUUGGGGCUACAUGACAGGAUUCUGUUAUAAGUAACAUAGACUCUAAUUUUUUAAGAGCAGUAGAAUGGAUCCGUUGCUUUCAAAAAAAUAAAAAAAAGAUCCGUUUUUGAGAUUAAACGUCAUGGAUGACACCUACCAAUACAAUGCACUCACAUGUCGGAGGCACAUACUUCUUGAUAAUUUAUACCAAUGAUUUUUGCAAAACAGUUAAAGAAGAAAGGACACAAAUCUAUUCCAUUAGUGAAAAAAACAAUUAUUAAUGUCCCUAUUUACAAUAUUUUAUACUCCGUCUGACUCAAAAUCCAAGUAGUUUAAUAUUUUUAUAUGAAAAUUAAGAAAUUAAUUAAUUCUUUUAAGUCGUAACAAAAUCAAGAAUAAUUUGAUCAAAUUAUUUUUAUAUCAAAAUUAAAUGUAACUUUUGAAGAUAAUUACUGUAUCUAAUAUAAUCAAGGGUGACAUUAACAAAAUUUGAUUUAUUAUUCCUUAAAAUACACUUACAUUUUUUAAACAAAAUAAUAACCCUGAAACUACUUAUACAUUGGAAUGGAAAGAAUAUAAGCAUAUAUUUUUCUUCAGCAUUUCCUUGGCAAUUCCCUGGCAAUAAAGGAAACAAUGUAAAAGGUGUAACAACCCCACCACUUUCUUUUGACUUAUUUGAUUUUAAAAAUAGCGAAAUUGAACGUCUAGAAGGGGUAGUUAGGAUAAUUCUCUUUUGAUAAUUGAGCUUAAAUACUACCUUCCAUUUCAAAUAUUUAUCAUAUUUGGAUAUUUCACUUUCAAUAAAACAAUUUAAUUUGUUUGAAUUACAUAAAUUAUUAUUGAAUGGAUUGAUGAUAUUAUUCUUAAUUUAUCGUCGGAAUGAAAACCAUUCAAUUAUUAUGACAAAGGAUAAAAAUAAUAAAAAAAAUAUUAUUUAUUAAAUCUAUAAAUAUAAUAAAUAUUUUGAUACACAUUACUUUUUUAAGUGAGAUAAAUAUUUAGAAAAUGGAGGUUGUAUUUAAAUUAGAAGGAACUUCUAAACUUUUUUGACCAAAUCACUUGGAAAUAUAAAGGAAGAUACGGAUACCAUAUCAACAUCUCAGCCGAACGCAGCCUCUGGGAAUAGUCGUGUAGAUACAUUGCCAUUUCGGUUUGCCUAUGCCUGCAAUAAGUACAGCAAAAACUUUUCUUUUGUCUCCUUGUGUUAAUGAGUUUUCAUUAGGUACAGUUUUUUUUUUUUUUUUUUGGAAGGUCAUUACGGUCAGGUUAAUGCUUAAUUGCGUCAAUAAUUAACCUACUUCAAUCAUUUCAGUUCCCAUUGUGCCGGAUCCUUAAUAAGGUUUUAUGUUCUGCAUGCUAUUAAAAGUUCUACAUGACUUCAAAGGUUCAUAUUUUAAUGUUUUAUUGCCAUAAUAAUCAAUUAUUACAGUUUUCUUAAUUGAGCUAAAAUAUUUAUUCUAAUUAAGUUUUUUUUUUAAUUUAAAUUAUACACUAUGCUUGAGCUAAUGAAACAGCUAAUUUAUUCACAGUCUGCAUUUAAUUUAAAAUAAUAGCACUAUUUCUUUUUUAAAAAAUUAAUUUGUAUUUCAACUCAUAUGAUGUUGAUUAGGGGAUGCAUCAUCACUAAUAUAAAAUGACGAAAUUGUGGUUUUCGGUUGCCGACAAUGAGAAAUACAUACCAAGCCAAUGGCAGUGAGUGCAAUGGCUUCUGUUGAUGGAUGAAAUUGAAAUUUAUUCUUUUUUUAGGGUGUCAAAAUUUGAUUUUAGAAAAGUAAAAGUGCCAAAAAAAAAAAUACAAUAAUAGUAAAUUCAUUAAGCGUCAAUAAAGCUUAAUUCAUAAAUUUGACAUUGUACUUUUAGCGAUUGUUCUUGUGGCUAUCUUAAACAUUAUGAGAAAUCUAUUAUGACUAUGUAUUUUCACAUUUCAGAAAUAAUUAUGUCCCUUGCCAAAAUAAACUAUAAAAAUAUUAUGUCAUAGUUGAAUUUCUGUAAAGAUAUUUCAUAUGGCGAGGAAUAUAAUUAUUAUUAAAAUACGAUAAUAAGGGAUCACGGUUAAAAUUUCGUAAACAUUUAAGAGUUAUAAAAAUAAUCAGUUAAAAGAUUUAUACAUUAAACCGGAAAUAGAGAUAAACAUGUGACGUGACUCCCUGAAAUAAAGCAUAUAGUUGUGGUGGUGCACUAGCUAUAUCGUGGGACUUACCAUCACAAAAGAGGCAGGAAACUUGCCAUGAUUCUUUCUUGGACUCAAAGAACAUGCUAUUUUUACUUUGUUAUCUAUUUAUUAUUAAUUGAAUGGCUCUAUACAUAUGAUAGCCUGUGAUCUGUAUAUGAGAAAGAUUGAUAGGUACCUUAUAGCGUAAUAGUAUAAUUAAUUAAUUAAUUGACGUGUACCUAAUUUUGAUUUUGGGUUCACAUGACCAUCCAUGGAAUUAAUUUCUAACACAUGGAUUAGGUUAGGUAGCACUCCAAAAACUAAGAGUCUAUCAAUCCAUGACUUGGGUUGUACAAAACCCUCCAAUUUCAGUAGGCAAAAUUGAAUAGUAAGUAUAGCACACACUAUAGGCAGUAUCAAUCCACAUGAUCGGUUUUAUUUACUCCGAAAAGUAUAUAUAUUUUUUUUAUUCCAAAAUAUAAGUGAUUUUUGGACGAUAAUUUUGUCCUAAAAUAUAAAUUGGUUUGAGAAUUUUAAAGAGUAAUAAAUUAUCUCAUAAAAGUAUUAAUACGAGAUAAAUGAUAAUUCGGAUAAAUUACUCUUGAUUUGUUAUAAUUUGGAAAAAAAAUAAUUGAUUCCUUAGUCUCGAUGAAAAAAUCUUAAACCAUUUGUCUUUUAUUAGCUUAUAUAUAUAUAUGUGUGUGUGUGUGAAUUAUCGAGGUUGCUUCAACGAAGAAGCUACAUGCAAAUCAUGGUUGAUCCUCUGGGGCUAAAAGAAAAAAAUUGGUCCAGGCUCUGUUUUUUAAUUAUUAGUUUGUGUUUUGCUGUAGAUUCAUGUAUUGUACAUUAGUCAUGCUUUAUAUAGAUAUAUAUAUAUACACACGCAAAAAUGUUAUUAGACAGAUAAUUGGUCUCAAACUCGAAAGACAGCGCCUGUAACCAUGUGCAUCAACUUCACAAGCAGCUAGCAAACUGCUCAACUGCUCACCACCAUAGCCAUUCAUCAAUUUCUUAUGCUAGUAAGUAAAUAUUAAUACCACGCCUUGACCCAUAUUCUUUGUUUCCUUCCUUUUCUUUUCCCGUUCUUUAUAUGUUAACAAAAGAUUAUUCAUAGAAGAGGAAAAGUUAAAAUAUUUUGAAAUUGACUUUUUCCUUUACAGUGGUUUUAAGAAACGGGAAGUGUUUUUCUUUUCUUCGCAAACUUGCAGCUGAUACUGUAUAAUCUAACCUAAACAAUAAACCCAAUAACCCUAACGCAUGUCUUUAUCAUGAUUCGGAGUAAGAAAACCGGUUUCUUAAUUCAUAAUACGCCGCAGGUUUUGGUUCUUGCAGUGCAGUCAAUGAACCGGAACCGGAACCAGAUCGCUCUCUUGGAUUCGAUAAGAGCUUAAUGGCGAUUUAAACGGGAUUUAGCUGGUGUUUAGACUUUAGAAGGAACUGGCUGGGACCACCAGACAAUCGUUGUGGUUGGGUCCCGCUAUUAUAUAUGCCUUUAGUCUUUAGCCAAAUGGGGCACUUCUUUCUUGCCUCUCAAGUCUUUGUUGCGCUCGUGAUCAUGAAGAGUUGGAUUUGAACAGCACCUCUAACCUAUUUGACUUUUUUUACCAAUGAAAUUAUUUCACCUUUUUCUCAAAUUCAAUAUUUAUAUUACACCAAGAAUUACUUUUGUAUAAAAAAAAAAUUUCCAAAAAAGGAUUUUUUUAAAUAAAUAAUUUUUUAAAGAAUGUAAUAUAGUAGGUUUACUGGUUUAGUUUAGAUAUAUUUUCCUUUACUCGAUAUUUCACUAUUAUACCAAGUAAAUGAAAGCAAUGGUUAUUUUUUCCAAUAAAUAAUAUUUUUUAUAAGUUAAUAUGAAAUAUAAAUCAAUCAGGUGUAGUAUGAAUCAAGAUAGAUGAAAGGUGCAGAGUCUUAGGAAAUCUGAGCAGCAAAAAAAUUGUUUAAAUAAGAAGUUGUAUUUACUGAGGUUUUCUAAUGUUUCGGUCCUUGUCGAUCGCGUAGAUUUAGCGCCAACGGCUUGGCAAUGGCAUGCUUGCUAGCUUACUUUCAUUGAAGACAAAAUUGUUGGUUUUGUCGAUCUGUUCGUUUUUUUUUCUUGGUCUAAUUUUUACUUUCACUAAUUGAUUUGUUGUUUUAUAACCGGCCAUGAACGUUUCGCAAUGGAAGUUGCUCUUCUGUUUUUUUCUUUGACUCUGUAAUGUUAUUUGGACAGAUGCUGGAGCCGCUAUAUAAAUAUUCUCCGUAGUUAAAAGGAUUUUUGAGUUAAUCUUCAUGGUGGAGGAGAACGGUCAUCCCAUAAUGGAUGAGACCAGGCCGACGAAGGAACAGAAUGACUCUACCGCCAGUAGCAGCUCCAAUAUGAGCAAAGUAGAUAAGAAGAAAGUCGAAACCGUUCCAUUUCUUAAGCUUUUCUCGUUUGCGGAUUCUGUUGAUAUUUUGUUAAUGAUUGUCGGCACAAUUGGUGCUGUUGGCAAUGGAGUUUCUACGCCUCUUAUGACAUUGUUAUUAGGACAAAUGAUUGAUUCUUUUGGAAAAAACCAGACUGGCAAUGAGACGGUUCAUAUAGUUUCCAAGGUAAAGGAGAAAAAAAAAAAAGAAAAAAACAGAUUCUAAAAUUACGUUCCUUCUCUUUGAAUUUUAAGGGAUUUGAUGUUUUGAAGAUUGUACUGAUUUGGUAUUUGAAUUUCAUUUCAGGUCUCUCUAAAAUAUGUCUACUUAGCAGCAGGAGCUGCGGCGGCUGCCUUUCUUCGUAUGUUCAAGUCAAAUUUAAAUUUCCAAUUAAAAUUUACAAAAGGAUAUAUGUGAAUUAAGUGAAAUUUUGUCUUCGAUGUUUGCCAGAGGUGGCCUGCUGGAUGGUAACAGGAGAAAGACAGGCAGCGCGAAUAAGGAGUUAUUAUCUCAAAACAAUACUUAGACAAGAUAUUACUUUUUUUGAUAAAGAAACGAGUACUGGAGAGGUUGUUGGCAGGAUGUCCGGUGAUACUGUUCUUAUACAAGAUGCAAUGGGCGAAAAGGUACUUUAUAAUCUGCAGAAAGGAAAAUUGCAACGAAUUAAUCUUGUCAAUUUCAUUUAGACCCGCUUGAUUUGUGCAGGUCGGAAAAUUCCUGCAGCUGAUGGCAACAUUCAUUGGGGGUUUUCUAAUAGCAUUUAUCAAAGGGUGGAAGCUUACACUUGUGAUGUUAGCUGCAAUUCCCCUGCUAGUGGCAGCUGGUGCCACUGUGUCCAUUAUCAUAUCCAGGAUGGCAAGUCGUGGACAAGAUGCUUAUGCAGAAGCAGCUACUGUUGUAGAGCAGACGAUUGGCUCUAUUAGAACUGUAUGUUACAUAGCCAGGACCAUAGAAUGCAGGGAAAAUAUCAAUAAUUUGUCUUUCAGAUGGACUUGAUUUUUCUUUUUCUCGCAAAAGUAUGAUAGUCAUUUGAUGUUCCAGGUUGCAUCAUAUACUGGGGAGAAACGGGCCAUUAGUGUUUACAACAAGCAUCUCCAAACUGCUUAUAAAUCAGGUGUUCAUGAAGGCCUUGCUUCUGGAGUCGGUAUUGGCAUAGUAAUGUUGGUUAUAUUUAGUAGCUAUGGCAUGGCUGUUUGGUUUGGUGCGAAAAUGAUAUUGGAACAAGGAUAUACCGGAGGAGCAGUUAUUAAUGUGAUUGUUGCUGUGUUGACUGGUUCAAUGUGAGUAGCUUUUUUGAUAUCUGACGUGAGUUAAGGAAUUUAAGCAUAUCGUCUUUGAUGAUUUAUUGAAUUUUGUAGGUCUCUGGGGCAGACAUCUCCUUGUAUGAGUGCAUUUGCUUCUGGUCGAGCUGCAGCAUAUAAAAUGUUUGAGACUAUUGAUAGAAAGCCUGAGAUAGAUCCUUAUAAUACGAAUGGAAGAGUAUUGGAUGACAUCCGUGGAGAUGUAGAGUUAAGGGAUGUAUAUUUCAGUUAUCCAGCAAGACCAGAAGAGGAGAUAUUUAGUGGAUUCUCUCUUUCUAUUCCAAGUGGCACAACUGCAGCUGUGGUUGGACAUAGUGGAAGUGGGGAAAAAAAAGUAAUUAGUCUGAUAGAACGAUUUUAUGAUCCAAAAUCUGGCGAAGUUCUUAUAGACAACAUUAACCUCAAAGAAUUUCAACUUAAAUGGAUUAGAGAAAAAAUUGGUCUUGUUAGUCAGGAACCUGCGUUGUUUACAUCUAGCAUCAAGGAUAAUAUUGCAUAUGGGA
rnacentral:lncRNA from 1 species